AAUAUCAAGGGAAGAUUUGUAAAUUUACAUCAUAAUAUCUCUGCAAAAUUAAAACCUUAGAAGUCUCUAGACACUCUCAAUUGCUUGAAAACAGCAGUCGCAUCACUUUCUCAUCCAAAAAAGUUCUUUCUUUCCAUCCUUUGAGAAGGAAAGUAGAGCUGAAAUUGUUCUCUCCGGUCAUUGUCCACCUCGACUUAAGUUCCGGCAAUCUAUCAUCUGAACUCAAACCACCGCCUUCUCUAUUUUCCAUCUAAAAAUUCCAGCAUCCAAGUCAUCCAUGUCUCCAUUAUUGCCGCCAUCAAUUGUUUCUUUGGUAGUUCUGUUUUGCCUCCAUCCAAGGGUUCAAUGAACCACCACCUUCUCUACUUUCCAUUUGAAAAAUCCAGCAUCCAAGUCAUCCAUAUCUCCGUUGAUGCAGCCAUCAAUUGCUUCUUUGGUAGUUCUGUUUUGCCGCCAUCCAAGGGUUCUAUUUUCAGAUUUAAAGGUUCAAUAAUUGAGAAGUGGUUUUCAGAUGCAAUAGAAAAUAAUUUUCCUUGAUGUCGCCAUUAAUAGUACAACAUUAUUAAUGAUAGGAUGCAUUAGAAAAAAUGCAGUUGCAUUAAUGGUUUAUGAGCUACAUAUAUCUCGUGCAAAUAUAAUUGACAUUACAACUAUGUGGUGAAGAACACAAAUGAUCUUCUAUAAAGCUUUUCAUGUGUGCAAUUAUAUAAUCAGAUGAUUGCAAUGGGAUCAUAGAUGCGACUUGGACUGAUAUUGAUUAUUGACCCUACUAAAAUAAAGCUUCAGCAAGUUACUAUGUACCUUUUCAUUAACUUGAGCUAAUUUAUUAUACGCUUACUUUCAUUUAGUUCAUAAUAAUAUGCUAAAUGUUAAAUUGACAUUUUUGUUCUUGUUAUUA